GACGAACGCUGGCGGCGUGCCUAAUACAUGCAAGUCGAGCGGACGGAUGGGAGCUUGCUCCCAGACCGUCAGCGGCGGACGGGUGAGUAACCCGUGGGCAACCUGCCUGUAAGACUGGGAUAACUCCGGGAAACCGGGGCUAAUACCGGAUAACUCUUUCCCUCACCUGAGGGAAAGCUGAAAGAUGGCAUCUCGCUAUCACUUACAGAUGGGCCCGCGGCGCAUUAGCUAGUUGGUGAGGUAACGGCUCACCAAGGCGACGAUGCGUAGCCGACCUGAGAGGGUGAUCGGCCACACUGGGACUGAGACACGGCCCAGACUCCUACGGGAGGCAGCAGUAGGGAAUCUUCCGCAAUGGACGAAAGUCUGACGGAGCAACGCCGCGUGAGUGAUGAAGGUUUUCGGAUCGUAAAACUCUGUUGUCAGGGAAGAACAAGUACCGGAGUAACUGCCGGUACCUUGACGGUACCUGACCAGAAAGCCACGGCUAACUACGUG
rnacentral:rRNA from 1 species